rnacentral:rRNA from 1 species
AACGCUAGCGGCAGGCCUAAUACAUGCAAGUCGAGGGGUAACAGGAAGUGCUUGCACUUCGCUGACGACCGGCGCACGGGUGAGUAUCGCGUAUACAAUCUGCCUCAUACUAGGGAAUAGCCCGAAGAAAUUUGGAUUAAUGCCCUAUAGUAUCUUUUUAAGGCAUCUUAUUAAGAUUAAAGGUUACGGUAUGAGAUGAGUAUGCGUUCUAUUAGCUAGUAGGUGUGGUAACGGCACACCUAGGCUACGAUAGAUAGGGGCCCUGAGAGGGGGAUCCCCCACACUGGUACUGAGACACGGACCAGACUCCUACGGGAGGCAGCAGUAAGGAAUAUUGGUCAAUGGACGAAAGUCUGAACCAGCCAUGCCGCGUGCAGGAUGACUGCCCUAUGGGUUGUAAACUGCUUUUAUAUAGGAAGAAAAACUUUCUCGUGAGAAAGCUUGACGGUACUAUAAGAAUAAGGAUCGGCUAACUCC